GAACGCUGGCGGCGUGCUUAACACAUGCAAGUCGAACGAAGCACUUUAAAACUAAUCUUCGGGUGCGUUUUAUUGUGACUUAGUGGCGGACGGGUGAGUAACGCGUGGGUAACCUGCCUCAUGCAGGGGGAUAACAGUUAGAAAUGACUGCUAAUACCGCAUAAGCGCACAGUGCCGCAUGGUACAGUGUGAAAAGAUUUAUCAGCAUGAGAUGGACCCGCGUCUGAUUAGCUAGUUGGUGAGGUAACGGCUCACCAAGGCGACGAUCAGUAGCCGACUUGAGAGAGUGAUCGGCCACAUUGGGACUGAGACACGGCCCAGACUCCUACGGGAGGCAGCAGUGGGGGAUAUUGCACAAUGGGCGAAAGCCUGAUGCAGCGACGCCGCGUGAGGGAAGACGGUUUUCGGAUUGUAAACCUCUGUCUUCGGGGACGAAAAUGACGGUACCCGAGGAGGAAGCCACGGCUAACUACGUG
rnacentral:rRNA from 1 species